GACGCUGGCGGCAUGCCUAACACAUGCAAGUCGAGCGGUAGAGAGGUGCUUGCAUCUCUUGAGAGCGGCGGACGGGUGAGUAAUGCCUAGGAAUCUGCCUAGUGGUGGGGGAUAACGUUCGGAAACGGACGCUAAUACCGCAUACGUCCUACGGGAGAAAGCGGGGGAUCUUCGGACCUCGCGCCAUUAGAUGAGCCUAGGUCGGAUUAGCUAGUUGGUGAGGUAAUGGCUCACCUAGGCGACGAUCCGUAACUGGGUCUGAGAGGAUGAUCAGUCACACUGGAACUGAGACACGGUCCAGACUCCUACGGGAGGCAGCAGUGGGGAAUAUUGGACAAUGGGCGAAAGCCUGAUCCAGCCAUGCCGCGUGUGUGAAGAAGGUCUUCGGAUUGUAAAGCACUUUAAGUUGGGAGGAAGGGCAGUAAGUUAAUACCUUGCUGUUUUGACGUUACCAACAGAAUAAGCACCGGCUAACUUCGUG
rnacentral:rRNA from 1 species